NNNNNNNNNUAAUUUGACUCAACACGGGAAAACUUACCAGGUCCGAACUUAUUGAGGUAAGACAGAUUGAUAGCUCUUUCUCAAACUUAAGGGUAGUGGUGCAUGGCCGUUCUUAGUUCGUGGAAUGAUUUGUCUGGUUAAUUCCGAUAACGAACGCGACUCAGUCAAGCUAACUAGAACGCUGUCAGUAGUGUGCCUCCGGGCGCACCUGACGUUAGGAGUGGCGGGUGUCCUCACGGGUGCCCGUCACUUAGUUUGCCCUGCUUAGCGGGACAACUUGUGUUUAGCAAGAUGAGAUUGAGCGAUAACAGGUCCGUGAUGCCCUUAGAUGUUCUGGGCUGCACGCGUGCUACAAUGUGAGCAGCAGCGUGUUCUCGCCUUAUGGCGCCCCCAUUCCGAGAGGAACGGGAAAUCACCCAAAUGCUCAUUUAGUAGGGAUUGGGGACUGCAAUGGUCCCCAUGAACCUGGAAUUUCUAGUAAGUGCUAGUCAUUAGCUAGCGCUGAUUAC
rnacentral:rRNA from 1 species